rnacentral:rRNA from 1 species
UACAGAGGGUGCAAGCGUUUAAUCGGAAUUACUGGGCGUAAAGCGAGCGUAGUCGGUUAUUUAAGUCGGGUGUGAAAGCCCCGGGCUCAACCUGGGAAUUGCAUUCGAUACUGGAUAGCUAGAGUUCGGCAGAGGGAAGCGGAAUUUCCGGUGUAGCGGUGAAAUGCGUAGAUAUCGGAAGGAACACCAGUAGCGAAGGCGACACUCUGGGCCGGUACUGACGCUGAGGAGCGAAAGCGUGGGGAGCAAACAGG